AGAGCGAACGCUGGCGGCAGGCCUAACACAUGCAAGUCGAACGAGAAAGUGGAGCAAUCCAUGAGUAAAGUGGCGACCGGGUGAGUAACACGUGACUAACCUACCUUCGAGUGGGGGAUAACCUCGGGAAACCGGGGCUAAUACCGCAUAAAAUCUUUGGAUCGGAAGAACUGGAGAUCAAUGGAGCAAUUCGCUUGAAGAGGGGGUCGCGGCUGAUUAGCUAGUUGGCGGGGUAAUGGCCCACCAAGGCUUUGAUCGGUAGCCGGCCUGAGAGGGCGCACGGCCACACUGGAACUGAAACACGGUCCAGACUCCUACGGGAGGCAGCAGUGGGGAAUUUUGCGCAAUGGGGGAAACCCUGACGCAGCAACGCCGCGUGGAGGAUGAAGUCCCUUGGGACGUAAACUCCUUUCGACCGGGACGAUUAUGACGGUACCGGUGGAAGAAGCCCGGCUAACUUCGUGCCAGCAGCCGC
rnacentral:rRNA from 1 species